AUAUUACAAGAGAAGAAACAAAAAAAUGUAGAUUAUAGGACAUGUGAAAUUUUAAUAAACUUCUCUACGACACAUAGGACAUGUGUUACAUUUAUCUAACCAUUUCAUGAUACAAUCUUGAUGAUAUAUAUGUAGACAUGGAUCAGGCAAUUGAAUAGCCUCAGAUCCAACCAAAAACUCUACGAGACAGAUACAACACGUCAUAGCUUCAGAAUUAUCUUCAAUUAUAAUUCUUUCGAAGUUGUAUUCAGAGCGUCUUUGUAUUUGAGUAGUGUCAACAUUUCUUCUUCUUCUUCUUCUUGUAUGAACCACAGAGAUCCCGUUGGUAUUAUUUUCAUCAACAACAAAGUGACCACCAUAAGUCUGCCUGUGUUGAUAGAACCGUGUUCGGGCCAACAUACUUAACAUGUGUGGCAUUCGGAGACAGUUGGAUCUCAGCAGAAGAUUAUGUGGUACAACUUCUUGACGAUAUCACAACUUGGUCUAAAGCAAAUAUAAUUUGGAGCUGUACAACUUCUUUUGUCAACUUAUUGGAUAAGUUUUUUGGAUAAAGUUUUUGAAAUUAGGUGCUCUUAUCGAUUUUGAAAUUAGGCGCUGUCAUGAGUUAUGUUAUAGGUAUUUUCAUGAUUUUGAAAUUUGGUGUUUUCAUUACUUUUAAUUACUAUUGGUAUUUUUAGUACUUUUGAUACUCUA